rnacentral:snRNA from 1 species
GUGCUUGCUUUGACAGCAUAUAUACUAAAAUUGGAACUAUACAGAGAAGAUGAGCAUGGCCCCUGUGCAAGAUGACACGCAAAUGCAUGAGGCGUUCCAUCUAUCU